UUUCUCUUUGCAGAGCAGAAGCUUUUUAAUAAGAUGAGAUCCCAGUUGUUGAAUUACAGAUUUUCUUUUGAUUCUGGCCUGAGAGUAGAUGCCCUUCAUCCACCUGGCAGAGAUUGCAAAAUGAUCACAUUUUACAAGCAGAUAUCUGCCAGAGACUCCUGCAGUAAGUCUCUAGUCCCCACCUGCCCAGUGUGUGACACAAGGAUGAAGAAAAACUUGAGACAGAGUUAAAGAGAAAGGGUGAACUGGGACAGCCAGUGCUCCUUUGGCAAAAGCACUGGCCCGUCUCUUCCACCGAAUUUUAUCAUUCAUCAAUCAGGGUAAAGGUGAAGUCCUUGUACAGAUGUGCAGUACGUGAAAUUCCCAUGGAAAUCAAUGCAGCCAAGGCUUUAAGGAGGAGUCAGAGCAUUUUCAAAUUAGAAGGAAGACAGACAAAAUAUAUGGUUGUAAUUAGAGCAUUGUCCUUCAAGCUAUGAAGGCACUAAUUGUGGGAACGGAGUUUGGGUGCGAUUACUCCGGCCUCAGCUACAGAUGUUAUCUCGGAUCAGCCCCACAGCUUCACAGGCCGUUACUCUAGUCUCUGCAGUGGCCGUCAGCAGGAGGUCAUGCUGACCUGCGUGCUACCGCAGUCCUCGUGAGAUGCUUCUGUGAGUCACAGAGCUUCAGUUCGACUCGCUUCUUAAGGCAGAGUCUCGCUAUGUAAUCCUAGCUGGCCCCAAACCAGUGGUCCUCCUGCUCAGCCUCUCCAUUGCCGGGAUUACUAGUGUGCACCUCAUACCAGUGCUGGAGAUCAAACCCAGGGCCUUCCAUACACUAGGCAAGCACUCCACCACUCAGCUACACUCCCAACCCAGAAAAAGGCUCUGGAGACAUGUUUGGUUAACACAGAAACAAGAAACAACAAUUUAAUGCACGACUAAAUUUGUCUAUAUGCGGAGAUGUCUCCCAGGCAGUGAGGACGGUGCGAGCUCAUACGCCCCAGACACAUCUUCAGUCACUGCAACGGGCGCUUCCUGACUUCUCAGACACUGUCAAAACUGGCAUGAAGUCCACACGAGAGAGCACAGGAGAAAUGCCCCACUGACGAUGACAAAGCUGGAGUGGUAGAAAAUCAAGCUGUUAUCCCAGCUCUACUGGGGUCUCUGAGACAGCAGCAGACAAAAGACAGGAGCAUCAGUGGACAGUCGUGCAUGACUCCGCAUUCACCUUGGUACGACUCUAUUGUGCCUGCUCAGCAGCAGAGAUGCCGAAGGCAACAGGACCAGCGCCUCCUCCCCACACCCAGGCAACCAGGCCCUGACUGCACAAGCCUCAGCUGGCGCUGCUCACAGAGGUUGUCCCACUGGCCCUCUCGCUAGGCAGUCUCAUUGAGGGCAGUGACGGGCUGCUUCUCUUCCGAAGGGCUUCUGCAAUGAACUAUACCCCACCCCUCCUUUUUUGAGACAGGGUCUCUGUGUUGCUCAGGGUGGGCUCAAACUUGUGACCUUCUGCUUCAGCCUCCUUGAGUGGCAGCAUUGCAGGUGAGCACCCCCACACUUGGGGCUACUUUCUUUGUCUGUCUGUAGGAAUGUUCACAUUGACCGCUAGCUUGGCACUGAGGACAAUGAAAAGAACAAGACAACAUCAAUGUGUUUUGGGAUUUCCUGAAGUAUCUAGGACUUUCUGUAUAAGAUGCAAGUGCAGAUUUCUUGUCUGCUCUUAAUUCCCAAUGAGUCCCACUGAGAUGCCAAUGUGUACAACGUUCACAGCACAAGAACAGAACACAGAAUCAGGGCCAGGCAUGUGUGCCACUCAGUUAACACGGGGAAAGGACACCACUAGAAUGAUGACCGCUUUCUCAGAACAGCACUGUGCACAAAGAGGUGCCUUUGUAGAGUGGCCUUCUUUCUGAACGUUCUGAGAGGCUUUGGGGUAACUUCUGGAGUUCUGUGGGGUCAGAACUGAGGCCCACCUGUCAUGGUUUUAGCCGAGGCUAAAGGGAGGGAGUGUAACUAUUUGAGAGAGGGGGAUAUGCUAAAAACCACCAUAGUUGGCCAUCCAGAUAAAGAAAGGUGAAAGUUCAAAAAAUUAUUUUAGUUGUUCCCUCCAGUAACAUCUCAAGGUCGUCCAAAACCUCAUGACCUACUGAACAAUCCUGGAACCACAGGAAUCUCCUGUCCUUAUUAUCUCAAGUCACUGUCAAGUGUAAGUUAAAAUGACUUUCAGUACAGGUUUGGAGAAUCUCCAACAGUUUCAGCACAGCUUCCUGAAGGUGGUGUAUUUCAGGAAUGUGAGCAUGCCCAGCAACCUCUGAUCGUGAAAACAUCCUGCGUCCCACACUGCGAGUGUUUCUAGCUUGCUUUGGCUGCAAGGAAGCUCAGAGCAGUUUGUAGCAGCUGCACAGGACCUGACAGCAAACGCUAAGGAAGGAAUAAUCUUAGUUGUCACCGAUUUUCCAGCCUUCAUUUAUCUUUGCCCCAAUUUCUUCAUUUGGUUAUGCUGAAUUAAGAAAACAUUUUGUGCUGACAGCAUAGCUUGGUAGUAAUGCACUAGCCUAAUAUGUGUGAAGCCCUGGGUUCAAUCCUCAGCAUUUGGCCCCUAAGUUUACUAUUUUUCCUUAUUAUGAUGAAACACGUUUGUUACAGAAAAUUAAAAAAAUUUAGAUAAACAAAAAAUAAAAAUAAAAAUAAAAUGUUCUAAUACUAGCACCCACAAUCAAGCACAGUGAAUACUAGCUAUUUAAUUUCCCUUACUAUCUAUAUACACAAAUAUUUGAUUUUCUUUAUGUAUUUUAUAAUCUGCAUCAAAAAAUGUUGUGAAUUAUUCUAGUCAUUCAAUAUCUUUCUACGACAUUCUUUUAAUGACCAUGUAUCUUCAAAUCACAUGAUGUGCAAUAGUUUAUUUUAUGAAACUUAUGCAGCUAAAUACUUAGUAUUUCCUCAGCUUUCCCUCAAUGGCCCUGCCGGUGUUAAGGGGCAGUUCUGGGCGUCCCUGCUGGGCUCGGCCCCUAUUAUCUUCUUGGGAGAGGGCUCUAUCCGUGGGAUUCCUGGGUAAGACAGAGCAUGAAGGUUACAGGUCCCCUCCCUUUCCGGCACUGCCUGAUUUAUCCCUGGCAAAGCUGGGCACCAAUUACAGCUCUCACCCUUCCCCGCACUGGGCCUUACCUUACCUAGGUGCCUUUCCUCUUGCUAAUCUGUGAAUCUGCACUGAGUCAUCACUGACCUUUCUUAGAAGGCGGCAGUGAGACACAGAUUUAAAGCAGCAACUCCAGCUGGGGCAAUCUACCCAGCUACCAAGGGCGCUGCGCAGCCUGGAGCGUGCCGCUGCCUUCCGCACAGCUCUCUGAAGUGCUCAGCCAAAGGACAGUUCUCUCCUCAAAGUCAAACACCCCUGAGCGGGUCUCCCGCCCGGCGGGGAGCCGUGAUGUGGAGCGAGGCGGCGUGGGUGCUCUGAGUCCCGGCAGCCCUGCCUGGCUCUGCAGCUCUUCCGUUGCCCAGCUGGCCCCUCUUCAUCCUUCUGAUCUCACCUCAGUGCCACCUCCUCGGGACCACCUCGCACGGGGUGGUGUGCAGGCUGCCUGGCUGCCCUCCCGCAUCCCCAUCACACACUGCCCGCAGCCUGGAGUUGGGGCUGGGCUGCGGUCAGGCAAAUGUCCACUUCCUCUCCUGGACUGAAGCAGGUUUACUCUGAAAUACCUGAGUCCAUACUUCUGAACAGCAGGCACCACAUUUUAAACCUCACCUUCUGUUGACCAUUUGGUUCAGUUUCUUUGCUUUGCAGCCCUGGAGCAGGGUCCAGGCCCAGACACAUGCUAGGCAGGCCUCUGCCACACCCAACACAGGCCCAGGCCCUUCUGCUGGCAGGGAGCCUCACUGGUCAGGCCUGGGUUUCCUCACAGCAGAUGCGCAUGUCUGUCCUCACAUAUGAUGUCCAUAAUCAAAUAAACAUGCAAAAAUAUUUUAAAGGCUAAGAUAAAAGCCAUUUUCCUCUAUUAACGGCCAGUCUAGCGGCUUCGCUCUGCCCUGUAGAGCAAGCAAUUAGGACAAAGCCUAAAAUUUCAUUUGCAUUAAGUUUUCUUAAGAACAAAGUUUAAAAGGAAAACAAAACAAAACCCAGCAGAGUAAUUACUGCUUUGCAGCAAAUGGUUUUUUCUAUUGGCAGGAGGUUUCUUUCAUGUGCUAAUGGUGGCAUUUUAAAAACCUCCUCGUCUUUAACUUACUUAGAUCUCCAAGGACCUCACACAUCUAAAGAUUCCUUACAUUCACCGAAACUUCCAGAGUGGUCUAAGGGUUGACAAGCAGUGCGAUUAAUGGACAGGAUUGAUUUAAUUUCCUACAAGAGUUCUUCCUUCACUAAGGAGAUGUUUGUCAUUCACGUCAAGCAUUCUCCCCUGCUUACAGAUGCCAAAAAACAGAAGAAUGCAGAGUGCACCCAGGGCUUCCUUUCCCUCUUAGAAAUUCCAUCUGCAAGUACUGGCCACGGAAAUAAGAGCCUCUCCUCAACCUUAAGCCUCUUCCUAAGCGCAGCAAGGGAACUUUGACUUGAGGUUUUAUUAGUACUUACCAGAAGAAGCAGAAAAUAAGAAUAAACUCAAUUUAAUAAGCUUCAAAAUAGAAAUACAAAGUGCUGCAGAAGUCACUGGGCUAUUUUAGAAGAGAAAUACCGAAACGACUUACAGAUCAGUACAAAGCCGUCAGUUGCAGUGCAAGUUUCUUCACGGCCUUACCUGAAGUGCCACUUAGAAGCAAGUUAAAUCCCCCUCCCCCAGAGAUAAACAGAAGAGCUUACGUCUUAUGUGCUAAUUUCUAUGUUGCCUAUGAGGAAACACUAGAUUUCUUAACAUGUAAAGUGAUGGCUCAUCACUCGCCAAAUACAGCUUUGGUGUUUUGCGCCCCUGAACAGCAUCAGCAUGGGGUGCAGGUCAAAGAGGGCGCCUGCCUGACGUGGGCCUGGCCCCAGAUUCCAUCCUAGCACGGCAAAAACAAACACGAAGGAAAGAAAACUACCCAGACGGGAGCUUGACGGCGCCAGCAGGAGGAGCAUGUGCUGAGAGCCAGACCCCAAGAAGGUCACUGUGCCUGGGGCAGCCCUGGGCCCAGCCCACGCUCAUCAGACCCCAGCCAUGAGGGACCUGAGGCCACAGAACCGGAACCACGCGGUGCUUCGCUGUGCAGACCAAGCCCACACAGCUCCACGCGGCUUCCCCUCCUGGAGGUCCUGCUGCUGCAGCCUCCCACCCAGGCUUCCUGUCUCUGGGCCUCGCGCUAUCUAGUGCUCUUUUCAGGCACCACCAGGACGGGGGCUUCAGCCAGGGCAGAGGUCAAAGGGUUAUCUGCCCUGUGUGGUUUUAGGGCAGAAGGAUCUUUUUGACUCUUUCUUUCAUUUUUCCCCUUAAGACAAAAUAUGUGCAUGUGAAUCACAGCAAGCUAAUUCAAGUACUAGAACAGUGUCUCUUCAGAGGAGCUGCCUUCUCAAGAAAAUCCCGAAUCAACUUUUCUGUCUCCACGGAGAAACCAGAUGCUGCAAAACUUGCCACACAGCUGCUAAAAUAGUGAGGCAGUUUCU